GCAUCCUAUCUCUUCCUCCUUCACCAUUGAGCUUGGAGAAGAAGUCUUGGCUCGAGGCAAAGACUUAGCCGAGGAGUAGCUUGCGAGGAAGAUAAAUUGCCGAUCCUGUGAGUGGAAUUAUUUAGCAUAGCUUUAUUAGAAGAAUGCCAAUAGCUAUAUAUAUAUAUA